AUGGUACCGAUAUUGGUGUGGUAAAACAUAAGAUAACUACCUGCUACCGUAGGCACUCAAAUGAAAUUAAAGAAGGAAAUUUAUAGGAUGGGCCUGAUUUCUAUGAUCGAAGGAAUUGACAAAUUGGAUUGGUCUUCCGGCCAUGAGGCCGCGCCUAAUUCUCCAGUCCCCUGUGAUUGUAAACGACGUCGUUGUCUCCUUUAAACAUUAUGCCUAAACAAAGCGAAAAGGAGGUCCAAUUUUCAGCUUCUUGUUUGCAGCUCAUUGGCGUUUACCAGAAGAAAAGAACCAGAAACUGAUAAAAAACUAUAAUGGCGGACCCUUACUAUAGAUACGGUGCUCUCCCAGACAGAGGUGUGUAUAAUCAUCCUGGUUACUUAUCAUCAUCAGCAGAGGCACCGCACUUAGCUUCUUCUAAUCAUAUUAAUGAUUUUCGAGACUCUGCUUCUGAUUUUCUCCGUAGAGAGAUAACUCCAUUGCGGCAACCCGUAUCUUAUGGGUUGAAUAACAGUAAUAAUGAUGAUAUUCCAGUUCGUAGUGGUGUAAUCCCAGGAGCUAGUAGUAGAGGGUACCUAUCUCCUCUAAAUGAUCCAAGUUUACCAAGCCAUAGACUGCGCGAUACUUCCGUUAAUGUUACCACUUUAGCCAUCCCUGAUGUGAUCAAUGACCAGCCGCCAAAUUAUUUAAGAAUUAAUGCUGAUAGUCCUUCAGUUUCAAGAACUGAAUCAAAUAUUUUGUUUGUUGAUGGCCUCCCUACAGAUUGCACUAGAAGAGAAGUAGGCCAUCUUUUCCGUCCAUUUAUUGGCUACAAAGACAUCAAAGUUAUUCACAGGGAGCCCAGACGAGAUGGAGAUAAAGCUAUGGUUUAUUGCUUUGUGGAGUUUGCUGAUGCAAAAUGUGCUAUUACUGCUAUGGAAGCUCUUCAAGGUUACAAGUUUGAUGAUAGGAGAUCUAACUCCCCUGUAUUGAGGAUCCAUCUUGCUCGCUUCCCUUUCCGUCCUCCUCAUGAUCGCAAUGAGCAGCCUGUUGCAAUCCCACGUUAAUUUCAAUUAAUGGGUGGAGAAAGAAGGAAGCUAACUGCCUUGUAAUUAUCAGGUUACAAAGAGAAACGUAACUUCCUGAUGCAAUUGAGCGACUUUGUUGGUGCAGUGAGCGGAGUUUAGCUAGUGUUUAUGUAACACUAACAUCUCAAGAUUCCACUGCUUUCUGUUAACAGUCUCUUGUGAUUUUACCUGGUUCAUGUCAAAAGAUGUUUCUGGUUGCUGCACUUUGUGAUAUAUCUAAUUCACCAUUGCAUAGUUUCACGUGAGUUUUGUUUUAUCACCAAAAACUUUGACCAUGUGCGGCCGAGGUGGGCACGUGACAAUAGGCUCAACGACUAGAUCCAGAAAAGGAUGCGUGCCUGCGAUAUUAGAAAUGUCAGUGCUAUUUUUCCAACGCAUGUUGAUUAGCUUGUCAUCGGCUUCUCAUUGGAAUAUAGGUGUUGCUUAUGCUACUAGUCUUUCAUGAAUGAACGUGUUCUUAAAAGUCUAAUAAUACA